rnacentral:rRNA from 1 species
GAUCAGUGGCUCAGGACGAACGCUGGCGGCGUGCCUAANACAUGCAAGUCGAACGAGAAUCGAUGGAAAGAGGGCUUCGGCCAAUGGAAGUUGAGGACAGUGGCGAACGGGUGAGUAACGCGUGAGCAACCUGCCUUUCAGAGGGGGACAACAGUUGGAAACGACUGCUAAUACCGCAUAACACAGUGAGGGGGCAUCCUCUUACUGUCAAAGAUUUAUCGGUACAAGAUGGACCCGCGUCUGAUUAGCUAGUUGGUGAGGUAACGGGCCCACCAAGGCGACGAUCAGUAGCCGGCCUGAGAGGGUGACCGGCCACAUUGGGACUGAGACACGGCCCAAACUCCUACGGGAGGCAGCAGUGGGGAAUAUUGCACAAUGGGGGAAACCCUGAUGCAGCAACGCCGCGUGAGUGAAGAAGUAUUUCGGUAUGUAAAGCUCUAUCAGCAGGGAAGAAAAUGACGGUACCUGACUAAGAAGCCCCGGCUAACUACGUG